rnacentral:tRNA from 1 species
GGGGCUGUAGCUCAGUGGUAGAGUGCUUGUCUUGCCUACAUGAGGCCCUGGGUUCCAUCCCAGCACCACA